rnacentral:rRNA from 1 species
GGUCGCGGCUUCUUAGAGGGACUAUCGACUCUUAUCUAAUGGAAGUUUGAGGCAAUAACAGGUCUGGGAUGCCCUUAAAUGUUCUGGGCCGCACGCGCGCUACACUGAUGAAGCCAACAAGUCUACAACCUUGGCCGGAAGGUCUGGGUAAUCUUGUGAAACUUGUUCGUGUUGGGGAUAAACCAUUGCAAUUAUUGUUCUUCAACAAGGAAUUCCUAGAAAGCGUGAGUCAUCACAUCGCGUUGAUUACGUCCCUGCCCUUUGUACACACCGCCCGUCGCU